rnacentral:tRNA from 1 species
GUAAAUAUAGUUUAACAAAAACAUUAGAUUGUGAAUCUAAUAACAGAAUUAUAAAAAUUCUUAUUUACC